CACGUAGGGGGCGAUCGUUGUCCGGAUUUAUUGGGCGUAAAGAGCUCGUAGGCGGCUCACUAAGUCGGGUGUGAAACCUCCAGGCUCAACCUGGAGACGCCACCCGAUACUGGUGUGGCUAGAGUCCGGUAGGGGAGCAUGGAAUUCCUGGUGUAGCGGUGAAAUGCGCAGAUAUCAGGAGGAACACCAGUGGCGAAGGCGGUGCUCUGGGCCGGAACUGACGCUGAGGAGCGAAAGCAUGGGGAGCAAACAGG
rnacentral:rRNA from 1 species